rnacentral:rRNA from 1 species
GACGAACGCUGGCGGCGUGCUUAACACAUGCAAGUCGAACGGAAAGGCCCUGCUUUUGUGGGGUGCUCGAUUGGCGAACGGGUGAGUAACACGUGAGUAACCUGCCCUUGACUUUGGGAUAACUUCAGGAAACUGGGGCUAAUACCGGAUAGGAGCUCCUGCUGCAUGGUGGGGGUUGGAAAGUUUCGGCGGUUGGGGAUGGACUCGCGGCUUAUCAGCUUGUUGGUGGGGUAGUGGCUUACCAAGGCUUUGACGGGUAGCCGGCCUGAGAGGGUGACCGGCCACAUUGGGACUGAGAUACGGACCAGACUCCUACGGGAGGCAGUAGCGGGGAAUAUUGCACAAUGGGCGGAAGCCUGAUGCAGCAACGCCGCGUGCGGGAUGACGGCCUUCGGGUUGUAAACAGCUUUCGCCUGUGACGAAGCGUGAGUGGCGGUAAUGGGUAAAGAAGCACCGGCUAACUACGUG